rnacentral:tRNA from 1 species
AGGGGAUUAGCAAAAUGGUUAUGCGGCGGAUUCCAAAUCCGUUGACGUGAGUUCGAUUCUUACAUCCCCUG